GACGAACGCUGGCGGCGUGCUUAACACAUGCAAGUCGAACGCUGAAGCUCAGCUUGCUGGGUGGAUGAGUGGCGAACGGGUGAGUAACACGUGAGUAACCUGCCCUCUUCUUUGGGAUAACGCCCGGAAACGGGUGCUAAUACUGGAUAUUCACUGAUUCUCGCAUGGGGGUUGGUGGAAAGGUUUUUUCUGGUGGGGGAUGGGCUCGCAGCCUAUCAGCUUGUUGGUGGGGUGAUGGCCUACCAAGGCUUUGACGGGUAGCCGGCCUGAGAGGGUGACCGGUCACAUUGGGACUGAGAUACGGCCCAGACUCCUACGGGAGGCAGCAGUGGGGAAUAUUGCACAAUGGGCGAAAGCCUGAUGCAGCGACGCCGCGUGAGGGAUGGAGGCCUUCGGGUUGUAAACCUCUUUCGCUCAUGGUCAAGCCGCAGCUUUGGGUUGUGGUGAGGGUAGUGGGUAAAGAAGCGCCGGCUAACUACGUG
rnacentral:rRNA from 1 species